GCAAAAUGAGAAUAUGUUAGGCCUGGC
rnacentral:piRNA from 1 species